rnacentral:lncRNA from 1 species
CAAGAGACAAAGUCCAUAACCCAUUUACCCAAGAAACAAUAUAUUAAAAAAAUUAAAUUUCUUUAUCUUCCCAAGAGACAAAAAGCAAUUUCACUCCCCACAUUGCACCUCUCUCUUCCCUAACUAAUAAAUUAUCGCUUCAUCUUUUCACCUUCCUAAAAAAUAAUAUAUUAAAAAAAUAAAUCUUUUCACUUUUUUUUAAAAAAAAUUUAUCUCUUUGUACCUCUCUCUCUCUCCUACCAAUAGAUCUCUUUUUCUAUUCACCUUCUCAAGAAAUAAAAUAUUAAAAAAAUAAAUUUUUUUACCUUUUCAAGAGAUAAUAUACUAAAAAAAUAAACUCCUCUCUCUUUCUCUCUCUUUCUCUUUUUCUCCCUCUACAAGAUCCAUGCUGUAACAACCCUGAAGAAUAAAUGGUAGAAGUAGUAGUAGCAUUAGUAGUUAGAUGUAGAAGAGGAGUAAAGGUAGCAGCUUUACUAGCUAGAAGAAGAAUAAGUGGCAGCAGCAGGUGGAGAGGAGGAGGUGCGGCAGGUGGGCCGACGAGAAGCGUCUUCGAAGGGCUCAGGCGAGCUUAACGGAACAGUCGGGCGAGAGGUAGUCCGGGUGGAGCUCUGGUGGGGACGACGAAGCUAGGGCAUCCUCAAAGCUCGGAGAGGGCGCUGGGAUGUCCAAUGGAGUCCAUGGAGUUGGGGCGAAGAAGAGGACUGGCGGAUCGAAGCUUCAGGAUCUCGGAGCGGAGGCAAAACGCGAACCCAGUACCCGCAGGGUCGCGGAUGAUGCGGAGAAGAAGGAGUCCGACGCCGAUUGCCCGUUUAUAGGCGGAUCGGGUGGGCCGAACCUCGGAUCGGGUGCAAUUAGCGAACCCAAGGCCCGCCGGGUAGCGGAUGAUGCGGAUAAGGUCGAGCCCGAUAUCCAAUCACCCGAUUACAUGAUGCUCAUGGACUUGUCAAGCCAACGGGGGCCCCAUUACCACAGAAUUAGCAGCCCAUGAGGCCCAUAUCUCAUAUUAGCACUUUUGCUGUUUAGCCCUCAGAUAGUAGUUAAUUUUCCUUUCAGUUCAAGUCACCAAGUAGUAUAAAUGUCAAGUGUAAUGUAAACAGGGAUCUAUCGAUGAAAUGAAAUAUUGCUUAUCUUCUUCCCCAAUCCUUCUCGAAACCCUUCUUUGCUUCUAAGCUCCCUAAUUCUCCUCUCUCUUCUCUACUUCUAAUCCCUACCCUUAUCUCUCUGUAUCUCUCUCUGUCUCUCUCUCAUUCCCAUCAUCUCCCAAUUCACGCUCCUCAAUCCGAGGUCUCAUCGGAUCGCGAUUGGGAUCAGGUUGGUCACGCCAUCAUCCCGGUUAGCCAUCCAUCUCCAUCGAGGGUUGCUAACAGGUCCGGUACAUAACACAUGCAUCCUAACCAAUAAGAUUCUGAAAAAUUCGAGAUCACGAAUCUCACGUCAUUCUCACAAAUUUUCUAAAUUCGCUCUAGAUUUGAAGAAAUCUAAUAAAAAAAUCUAAAUUUGGGUUUUGGAACUCUAUAAAUUCAUGAUGAGAAAGAAGCCAAGAGGGGAUGGAGCGGACAGCCAAUAGGGAAUCCGCGAGGGCGCAUGAGGAGAAACGCGUCCAUACCUAGCCCACAUCCAUGUAUUAACUUAAAAAAACAAAAGGAAAAAAAAGAAUGCAGAGGGAGAAGAAGGAGAAGGAAUAUAUAUAUAUAUAUAUAUAUAUAUAUAUAUAUAUAGUUGUGCUGGUAUGUUUAUGAAAGCACGGAGGUCUCCGUGCUUUCAAGUUGUUUUUGAUGUUCGGAUUUUCGAAUCGACGAUCGGCUCCGUUAGAGUUGAUCUAGAGUAUUUGAAGUACAUAGAAAAUAAAUUUUACGAUUUUUCGAUAUCAUUUGCCUAGUGAUCGAAGGAGCUCAAAAUCAAUAAUUUUAACGGCCGUGGUGAGCCGGUUGCAAGUUUAACAGUGUAGAAAUAUCGAAAUCAUAUAAAAUUUUGAUAGAAAAUUCUUUAUACCUUAUAAAACAAGAUCAAUAACUUUGAUCUAAAAUUUUAAUGUCAUAUCGUCAUAUUUUAUAAGAUUUUUAUUUUCAGCCGUUGAUUUUAAGCCACUUCGAUCAAUAGGCAAAUGAUAUCAAAAAAUCAUAAAAUUUAUUUUCUAAAUAAUUCAAAUACUCUAAAUCAAGUCUAACGGAGCCGAUUGUCGAUUCGAAAGUUCAAACAUCGAAAAUAAAAUGAAAGCACGGAGCCUUCCGUGCUUCCAUAAGCAUCCUAUAUAUA